rnacentral:rRNA from 1 species
CGGCGGACGGGUGAGUAACGCGUGGGUAACCUGCCUUAUACUGGGGGAUAACAGCCAGAAAUGACUGCUAAUACCGCAUAAGCGCACAGAACCGCAUGGUUCGGUGUGAAAAACUCCGGUGGUAUAAGAUGGACCCGCGUUGGAUUAGCUAGUUGGCAGGGCAGCGGCCUACCAAGGCGACGAUCCAUAGCCGGCCUGAGAGGGUGACCGGCCACAUUGGGACUGAGACACGGCCCAA